rnacentral:rRNA from 1 species
UACGUAGGGUGCGAGCGUUAAUCGGAAUUACUGGGCGUAAAGGGUGCGCAGGCGGCCUUGCAAGUCAGAUGUGAAAGCCCCGGGCUUAACCUGGGAAUUGCGUUUGAAACUACAAAGCUAGAGUGCAGCAGAGGGGAGUGGAAUUCCAUGUGUAGCAGUGAAAUGCGUAGAGAUGUGGAAGAACACCGAUGGCGAAGGCAGCUCCCUGGGUUGACACUGACGCUCAUGCACGAAAGCGUGGGGAGCAAACAGG